rnacentral:rRNA from 1 species
AACCUGGUUGAUCCUGCCAGUAGUCAUAUGCUUGUCUCAAAGACUAAGCCAUGCAUGUCUAAGUAUAAGUAUUAUACAGCGAAACUGCGAAUGGCUAAUUAAAACAGUUAUAAUUUAUUUGAUAAUCGAAUUUACAUGGAUAACCGUGGUAAUUCUAGAGCUAAUACAUGCUGGUAGGCCCGACUUUUUGGAAGGGCGGUAUUUAUUAGAUAACAAACCAAUAUUCCUCUGGUCUAUUGUGGUGAAUCAUAAUAACUGAUCGAAUCGCAAGGUUUUUAACCGCGAUAAGUCAUUUAAGUUUCUGCCCCAUCAGCUUUCGAUGGUAGUGUAUUGGACUACCAUGGCUUUUACGGGUAACGGAGGAUUAGGGUUCGAUUCCGGAGAGGGAGCCUGAGAAACGGCUGCCACAUCUAAGGAAGG